UACGUAGGUGGCAAGCGUUGUCCGGAAUUAUUGGGCGUAAAGAGCGCGCAGGCGGCUUGGCAAGUCGGGUGUGAAAUCCCGGGGCUCAACCCCGGGACUGCAUUCGAUACUGUCAGGCUAGAGGUAGGUAGGGGAGAUCGGAAUUCCUGGUGUAGCGGUGAAAUGCGCAGAUAUCAGGAGGAACACCGGUGGCGAAGGCGGGUCUCUGGGCAACAACUGACGCUGAGGAGCGAAAGCGUGGGGAGCGAACAGG
rnacentral:rRNA from 1 species